rnacentral:misc_RNA from 1 species
GAGCAGGUCGGCCGCGCGCGCUAUCCUUUCUGGAACUUGGACUUGAGGAGCUUGAUGGUGUCGGCGUCCACCUGGAAGCUCUUGGCCAGGACGUCGUCAGGGAUCUCCGGGUCGGCCCCGAACAGGGUCUGCGCGGCGAGCACGACGCCGGGCAGCUGGCUGUUGAAGACGGUCAUGGCGCGCGCGGCGCCUUUGCCGACGUUGUACUGGAAGUGGACCAUCCCGCGCGGGAUGACGAAGCUCUCCCCGGCGCGCACCACCUUGGAGUAGAACCUGCCCUCCGUGCUGACGAAGCCGACCAGCAUCUCGCCGGCCUCCACGUGCACCAGCUCGGCGGACCGCGGGUGGGUGUGCAGCGGGUUGACGCCGCCGGGGGCGAGGUCGACGCGGUUGAUGGACAGGCCCAGCGUGUUGAGCCCCGGGAACGCCUCCACGUUGCCCGGCGUCACGCCCGCGCCCAUCGGGUUGUCCGUGCUCG